UACAGAGGUGGCAAGCGUUGUUCGGAAUUACUGGGCGUAAAGGGCGCGUAGGCGGUCAGGUCAGUCCCGUGUGAAAUCCCUCGGCUCAACUGAGGAACUGCACGGGAAACUACCUGGCUUGAGUUCGGGAGAGGGAAGCGGAAUUCCGGGUGUAGCGGUGAAAUGCGUAGAUAUCCGGAGGAACACCGGUGGCGAAGGCGGCUUCCUGGACCGACACUGACGCUGAGGCGCGAAAGCUAGGGGAGCAAACAGG
rnacentral:rRNA from 1 species